rnacentral:rRNA from 1 species
CCUACGGGUGGCAGCAGUGAGGAAUAUUGGUCAAUGGGCGCUAGCCUGAACCAGCCAAGUCGCGUGAAGGAUGACUGCCCUAUGCGUUGUAAACUUCUUUUAUCUGGGAAUAAAGUGCAGUAUGUAUGCUGCUUUGCAUGUACCUUAUGAAUAAGCAUCGGCUAACUCCGUGCCAGCAGCCGCGGUAAUACGGAGGAUCCGAGCGUUAUCCGGAUUUAUUGGGUUUAAAGGGAGCGUAGGCGGGUUGUUACGUCAGUGGUGAAAGUUUGGGGCUCAACCGUAAGAGUGCAGUUGAUACUGGCAGCGUAGAGAACAGGAGAGGUACGCGGAAUGCGCGGUGUAGCGGUGAAAUGCUUAGAUAUCGCGAAGAACUCCGAUUGCGAAGGCAGCCUGCGGGAGUGUAACUGACGCUGAUGCUCAAAAGUGUGGGUAUCAAACAGGAUUAGAUACCCUAGUAGUC